UACGUAGGGUGCGAGCGUUAAUCGGAAUUACUGGGCGUAAAGCGUGCGUAGGUGGUUCGUUGUGUCUGUGGUGAAAGCCCCGGGCUUAACCUGGGAAUGGCCAUGGAAACUGGCGAGCUGGAGUGUGGCAGAGGGGGGUGGAAUUCCGCGUGUAGCAGUGAAAUGCGUAGAGAUGCGGAGGAACACCGAUGGCGAAGGCAGCCCCCUGGGCUAACACUGACGCUGAGGCACGAAGGCCAGGGGAGCAAACGGG
rnacentral:rRNA from 1 species